AUUGAACGCUGGCGGCAUGCCUUACACAUGCAAGUCGAACGGUAACGGGCCUUCGGGUGCCGACGAGUGGCGAACGGGUGAGUAAUGUAUCGGAACGUACCUUCCAGUGGGGGAUAACGUAGCGAAAGUUCGGUUAGUACCCAAUAUUCGGGGAGCAGGAAAGAAGGGGACGGCAGACCCUGCGCGUGAUUGAGCGGCCGAUAUCAGAUUAGCUAGUUGGUGAGGUAAAGGCUCACCAAGGCGACGAUCUGUAGCGGGUCUGAGAGGAUGAUCCGCCACACUGGAACUGAGACACGGUCCAGACUCCUACGGGAGGCAGCAGUGGGGAAUUUUGGACAAUGGGCGCAAGCCUGAUCCAGCCAUGCCGCGUGAGUGAAGAAGGCCUUCGGGUUGUAAAGCUCUUUCGGCCGGGAAGAAAUCGUAUGGGUUAAUACCCUGUGCGGAUGACGGUACCGGCAUAAGAAGCACCGGCUAACUACGUGCCAGCAGCCGCGGUAACAC
rnacentral:rRNA from 1 species